UACGUAGGGUGCGAGCGUUGUCCGGAAUCAUUGGGCGUAAAGCGCGCGUAGGCGGCCAGAUAAGUCCGGUGUGAAAGUCAAAGGCUCAACCUUUGAAUGCCGCUGGAAACUGUCUGGCUUGAGUCCGGAAGGGGCGAGUGGAAUUCCUGGUGUAGCGGUGAAAUGCGCAGAUAUCAGGAGGAACACCAAUGGCGAAGGCAGCUCGCUGGAACGGUACUGACGCUGAGGUGCGAAAGCGUGGGGAGCAAACAGG
rnacentral:rRNA from 1 species